UUGAACGCUGGCGGCAGGCCUAACACAUGCAAGUCGAGCGGAUGAAGGGAGCUUGCUCCUGGAUUCAGCGGCGGACGGGUGAGUAAUGCCUAGGAAUCUGCCUGGUAGUGGGGGAUAACGUCCGGAAACGGGCGCUAAUACCGCAUACGCCCUGAGGGAGAAAGUGGGGGAUCUUCGGACCUCACGCUAUCAGAUGAGCCUAGGUCGGAUUAGCUAGUUGGUGGGGUAAAGGCCUACCAAGGCGACGAUCCGUAACUGGUCUGAGAGGAUGAUCAGUCACCGUGGAAAGGGAACACGGUCCAGACCCCUAGGGGGGGAAGCAGUGGGGAAUAUUGGAAAAGGGGCGAAAGCCUGAUCCAGCCAUGCCGCGGGUGUGAAGAAGGUCUUCGGAUGGUAAAGCACUUUAAGUUGGGAGGAAGGGCAGUAAGUUAAUACCUUGCUGUUUGGACGUUACCAACAAAAUAAGCACCGGCUAACUUCGU
rnacentral:rRNA from 1 species